rnacentral:rRNA from 1 species
CGGAGCCUACGGGGGGCAGCAGUGGGGAAUAUUGCACAAUGGGGGAAACCCUGAUGCAGCGACGCCGCGUGAAGGAUGAAGUAUUUCGGUAUGUAAACUUCUAUCAGCAGGGAAGAAAAUGACGGUACCUGACUAAGAAGCCCCGGCUAACUACGUGCCAGCAGCCGCGGUAAUACGUAGGGGGCAAGCGUUAUCCGGAUUUACUGGGUGUAAAGGGAGCGUAGACGGUAUGGCAAGUCUGAUGUGAAAACCCGGGGCUCAACCCCGGGACUGCAUUGGAAACUGCCGAACUAGUGUGACGGCGG